UACGAGGGGUGCAAGCGUUGCUCGGAAUUAUUGGGCGUAAAGGGCAAGUAGGUGGUCUCAUUUGUCUGGGGUGAAAGCCUUGAGCUUAACUCAAGAAGUGCCCCGGAAACGGUGAGACUCGAGUACUGGAGAGGGUCGUGGAAUUCCCGGUGUAGCGGUGAAAUGCGUAGAUAUCAGGAGGAACACCGGUGGCGAAGGCGGGUCUCUGGGCCGAUACUGACGCUGAGGAGCGAAAGCGUGGGGAGCGAACAGG
rnacentral:rRNA from 1 species